GGGAAUUUCCACCUGCAAGAUAAAACUGUGAGAAUCUGGGAUUGACCUUGGACCGUUAAGAAUGUUGACAGAAGAAGCCUUAGUGGUUGCAUUAUGUAAGAUUAAUGAUUCACUGGAACAGCUCCAUAAGAAGACGGAUGCGAGGACUAUAAAAAUUGAUAACUUGGAACAAAAAGUGACUAAUUUGGGACAAAAAGUGAAUAUUAACACAGAAAUUAUCCAGGAAUUGAUACAGGGAUCUAUUUUGACAUGGCAAAUUGAGGAGAAGGCGGGGAGAAAGUUGUGGUUGUGGAACCUAAAGUUGCACAAGUGGAGAGGAGAGAGCCCCAGCCUUACAGAUGCAAUUUGACGAUUAUAAGUUGAUGCCUUUUAAGACUGAAUUCAGAGAAAGUCAGACUUUGAGGAUUGGAGCCCUGCUUGGACUGGAGAAGGAAAGUUGGAUAGAUCCCUUCAUGCAGGGAUUUAUUGACUUUUGGCACCUGGACUUGGGUCAGGAGGAGACUGGAGUUGUGGGGACCGCCAGACUCGGAGGAACUUUGAAACACGACUGGAAAUAUCUUUUGAAUUUCAGUUUUAACUAUGGAGAUUUGGCUGACUUGUCGAGAAGGAAUAAAAACAUUGCUAGAUGGGAAUUUCCCCGAGAUCUACUUUUCAGCAUCAAAGGAAGGAAAAUAAGAACAAGAUCAGGAGAAGACAAAGUAAAGUGCAUGUAUAAACAUGAAGAAGACUUGCAGAAGGGACUUGGAAAAGAGUUAAGAGCCACGGACAGAAGAUCACCAGGUUGAUGGGCUAUAUGGAAUUGACGGAAAUACUGAAGAAACCAGAGGCCUUUCUCCUGGGCAUGGUCGGCCAAUUGGUGCAAAAAAAGGACAGAACUUUCUUUAUGUAUGCUACAACAGCAGCAAGAAUACUCAUCGCGAAGUAUUGGAAGACACAAGAUCUACCCACCCGGGAAGAAUGGCAGAUGAAGGUGAUGGACUACAUGGAACUGGCGGAAAUGACUGGCAGAAUCCGAGACCAGGGAGAAGAGUUGGUGGAAGAAGAUUGGAAGAAAUUUAAAGUUUAUUUACAGAAACAUUGUAAAAUUAAGGAAUGUUAGAAGGAUGUUGGAAUGAAGUAAUGUUGUUUUAGCAGAAAUGCUAUAAAGGAUUAAGAAAAAAUAGAUUGUUAAAUGGGGAAAGGAGGGAAAGUAAAGUUACAAUAUAUUAAGAUAAAAUAGAGGACAAAAAUUGGAAAAGAUGGAAAGGACUUGCUGAAAUAGCUAACUGAACUAGAAGACAAAAAAGGGAGGUGUGAGGAGGUCAAGGAAACAAGCAAAUGAAAGAUAAAUUAUGGGAAGAUUUAUUGUGUAUAUAUAUAUAUAUAUUUCUUUUUCUUUUUCUUUAUUGUGAUAUGAUGUUCUGUUUUUCUGUUUAAUAUGCUGUUUUCUAAUGAGUGUUAGAAAAAUGUUGGAAGGGAAUUAUACGGCUUUAGUAGAAAUGUUGUAAGGAAUUAAGUAUAAAUAAGUAUCAUAGUAUUAAUGGAAAACAAGGUUAAAAUAUGUUAAGAUAAUCACAUGACAGAAAAUAGAGAAAGAUGGAAAGGAUUUGCUGAAAUAAUUAAUAGAAAUGGAAUACAAAAAGGGAGGUGAGAGGAGGUCGAUGAAACAAGGGGAUGAAAGAGAGGAUAUUGAGAUGGUAUGAUGUAUGUUUUUUGAACUGUUUUUGCUUUCGUUUUGUUUAACGUGUUAAUGUUAAUGUUGUG